CACAGAAGGAAAAAGUCAUUGAUCUGACAUUGAGGUUGGAGAAAUCAUCAAAAGGUUGAGCUAUUAAAAUUUGCAGUAUGGUACAAAAUGAUUGGGGAAAUUUUUUUCUCAAGCAUGAAGCCAAUGGUUUAAACCAUAUGGAAUCAAUUUGAGGAAGCUCACGAUAAUCCUAUUGCAACUGAGCAUGAUCCCUUCACAAUUAUCAUUGCCAUUAGAGUCAAAGUGACAACAGCCAACUUCCAUCGCAAAAGAGUGAAAAGCUUUACCUUCUAACUGUUGGUUGUUAUAGAAGUGGUGAGCAUUCAAGAAGCCUGCAGCUUGUAUAGAAAUGUUUGGAGAUUAAACUUGAUUGGAGGUAGGCUUUGUACCUUGAGAAGGCAGUAAAAGAACAAAUUACAAAAGAUGGUGUCAUUGGAAUUGGCAUUUCAGUUACUGCUGUGGUACUUAUAGCUGGUGGAAUUAUAACUGCAUUAGCUAGCAGAAAAUCAUGACGACGGAUUAUUAUUUUAAGAGUAAUUUCCCUGAUUUGCGGUUCCCAAUCUUCGAAGAUGAUGCAUUUUAACCCUGCUAACUAUGAACUGAUGUCCUUUCUAUUACUUUUAGUUGAAGUUAAGACUUUGUAAAUAUAUAUUUCAAUAGAUUUCAUAUGGUACCUCCGGA